rnacentral:sRNA from 1 species
UAGGUUUCUUGGCCAUUGAAUAGAGGAC